UACGAGGGGGGCGAGCGUUGUUCGGAAUUAUUGGGCGUAAAGGGUGCGUAGGUGGUCUGGUAAGUCGGAUGUGAAAUCCCGGAGCUUAACUUCGGAACUGCAUUCGAUACUGCCGGACUGGAGUACUGGAGAGGAGAUACGGAAUUUACGGUGUAGCGGUGAAAUGCGUAGAUACCGUAAGGAAGACCAGUGGCGAAGGCGGGUCUCUGGACAGUUCCUGACGCUGAGGCA
rnacentral:rRNA from 1 species